AUGGCGGGGCGGUGGCGAGCGGCGCUGGCGCUGCUGGUGGCCCUGGGGCUGGGGACAGGGACGGGGCCGUGGCCACCCGGGGCAUUGCAGCCUGAUUUUGGGAAUGCGACGUCUCUGGAGGUGAUGGUGCAUGAUCCAUCCUCGACUCCUGAGAUUUCAGAUAUGGACUUUGAUGUUGAUGCUCUCUUCAAUGAAUCUCAGACAACUCCUUCGACAACAACAGCUAAAAAGAAGGACGUCCUGACGUGCUUCGUGGACAUCCUGAAGCACGUAGCUGAAUUUGACCCCACGGGGGAGACCCCCUUUCAGCUUUCAGCCAUCACGCCCCCCAUCAACGAGACCAAGGAAACUCUUUUGUCAAAACUCUGCGGGACGUCUGCUGAAAGUAUAGAAAACCUAGAAGACCUCCUAAUGACAUUUGAACCUACACCAUCUACAACACCUACACCACCAGCAGUCCUGACAGCCCAAACUGGCCCAGAUCUUUCUGUUUCAUGCGUUUAUACGUCUAUUCGGCUGAUGAAAGCGCUGAAAGAACUAGCUGAAAUACUUGAAACCGCGGCUACGAAAAAGAAAAACAAGGCUCUCGGGCUGGGAUUGCUUAAACCUUUAAAAGGGCGCAGUCAUUUGGGGUAA
rnacentral:lncRNA from 1 species